rnacentral:rRNA from 1 species
GUGCCAGCAGCCGCGGUAAUACGUAGGGUGCGAGCGUUGUCCGGAUUUAUUGGGCGUAAAGGGCUCGUAGGUGGUUGAUCGCGUCGGAAGUGUAAUCUUGGGGCUUAACCCUGAGCGUGCUUUCGAUACGGGUUGACUUGAGGAAGGUAGGGGAGAAUGGAAUUCCUGGUGGAGCGGUGGAAUGCGCAGAUAUCAGGAGGAACACCAGUGGCGAAGGCGGUUCUCUGGGCCUUUCCUGACGCUGAGGAGCGAAAGCGUGGGGAGCGAACAGGCUUAGAUACCCUGGUAGUCCACGCUGUAAACGGUGGGUACUAGGUGUGGGGUCCAUUCCACGGGUUCCGUGCCGUAGCUAACGCUUUAAGUACCCCGCCUGGGGAGUACGGCCGCAAGUCUAAAACUCAAAGGAAUUGACGGGGCCCCGCACAAGCGGCGGAGCAUGCGGAUUAAUUCGAUGCAACGCGUAGAACCUUACCUGGGUUUGACAUGGAUCGGGAGUGCUCAGAGAUGGGUGUGCCUCUUUUGGGGUCGGUUCACAGGUGGUGCAUGGCUGUCGUCAGCUCGUGUCGUGAGAUGUUGGGUUAAGUCCCGCAACGAGCGCAACCCUUGUUCACUGUUGCCAGCACGUUAUGGUGGGGACUCAGUGGAGACCGCCGGGGUCAACUCGGAGGAAGGUGGGGAUGACGUCAAGUCAUCAUGCUCCUUAUGUCCAGGGCUUCACGCAUGCUACAAUGGCUGGUACAGAAGAGUGGCGAGCUGUGAGGGUGAGCGUAUCUCGGAAAGCCGGUCUCAGUCGAUGGGGUCUGCACUCGACCUCAUGAGUCGAGUCGCUAGUAUCGCAGAUCAGCACGCUGCGGUGAUACGUUCCGGGCUUGCACACCACGCCCGGUCA